GAGGGUACAGCUCAGUGGUAGAGCGCAUGCCUAGCAUGCAUGAGGUCCUGGGUUCAAUCCCCAGUACCUCCA
rnacentral:tRNA from 1 species